UGGGGAAUCUUCCGCAAUGGACGAAAGUCUGACGGAGCAACGCCGCGUGAGUGAAGAAGGCCUUCGGGUUGUAAAGCUCUGUUAUUAGGGACGAACGUACGGUGUGUAAAUAAUGCACCGUAGUGACGGUACCUAAGGAGGAAGCCACGGCUAACUACGUGCCAGCAGCCGCGGUAAUACGUAGGUGGCGAGCGUUGUCCGGAAUUAUUGGGCGUAAAGAGCGUGUAGGUGGGACUAUAAGUCUUAUGUAAAAGUGCGGGGCUCAACCCCGUAAAGCGUGAGAAACUGUGGUUCUUGAGUGCCGGAGAGGAAAGCGGAAUUCCCAGUGUAGCGGUGAAAUGCGUAGAUAUUGGGAGGAACACCAGUGGCGAAGGCGGCUUUCUGGACGGUGUCUGACACUGAGGCGCGAAAGCUAGGGGAGCGAACGGG
rnacentral:rRNA from 1 species